UACGUAGGGUGCGAGCGUUGAUCGGAAUUACUGGGCGUAAAGCGUGCGCAGGCGGUUUUGUAAGCCAGAUGUGAAAUCCCCGGGCUUAACCUGGGAAUGGCAUUUGGGACUGCAAGGCUGGAGUGCGGCAGAGGAGACUGGAAUUCCUGGUGUAGCAGUGAAAUGCGUAGAUAUCAGGAGGAAUACCGAUGGCGAAGGCAGGUCUCUGGGCUGACACUGACGCUCAUGCACGAAAGCGUGGGGAGCAAACAGG
rnacentral:rRNA from 1 species